UCACUUACCUGGACGGGGUCAAUGGGUGAUCAAGAAGAUCCAUGGCCUAGGUUGGUGAUCUCCAUUGCACUUUGGAGGGGUGCCUGCCUAAAGUCGACCCAAGCGGUCGAGCCUACGUCAUACUUUGUGGCAGUUGGGGGUUGCGUUCGCGCAGCCCCGC
rnacentral:snRNA from 1 species